ACAAGCGGUGGAGCAUGUGGUUUAAUUCGACGCAACGCGAAGAACCUUACCAGGGCUUGACAUCCCCUGACCGCGUAUGAAAGUACGUUUCACCCUCGGGUGACAGGGAGACAGGUGGUGCAUGGUUGUCGUCAGCUCGUGUCGUGAGAUGUUGGGUUAAGUCCCGCAACGAGCGCAACCCUCGACCUUAGUUGCCAGCAUUCAGUUGGGCACUCUAAGGUGACUGCCGGCUAAAAGUCGGAGGAAGUGGGGAUGACGUCAAAUCAUCAUGCCCCUUAUGACCUGGGCUACACACGUGCUACAAUGGGCGGUACAAAGGGUCGCGAACCCGCGAGGGGGAGCCAAUCCCAAAAAGCCGCUCUCAGUUCGGAUUGCAGGCUGCAACUCGCCUGCAUGAAGCCGGAAUCGCUAGUAAUCGCGGAUCAGCAUGCCGCGGUGAAUACGUUCCCGGGCCUU
rnacentral:rRNA from 1 species